AGUUCUUCACCCUGUUGUUGAUCAUCUUCGUGGCUGAAAUUGCAGCGGCUGUGCUCACGUUCGUGUUCAAGGCGGAGGCUGCUGACAUUUUUAAAGAUCUUGAUGACACAAUUGUUAAAAACUUUGAAAAAAGUCCUGCAGGUACCCUGUCCCCUGUCUUGUAUGCCACCAUGUACGAUUUAUAAUGCUGUGGAUACCAUAAUUACACUAACUUCCACAACGUGACCAAAUACCAUCCCCCGUUUGGUUUGUGAAUCACAUGCGUCAUGACAAGAUUAUCCAGCUGUUAAAGGACAACGCUGCGAUCAUCGGAGGAGUGGUGGCGUGGAUUGCUCUCAUUGAGGUUGCAGCCAUGGUGGUGUCACUGGUCCUGUACAAAGAUAUACCACCGAAAUAACGUGUGUGUGUGUGUGUGUGUGUGUGUGUGUGUGUGUGUGUGUGUGUGUGUGUGUGUGUGUGUGUGUGUGUGUGUGUGUGUGUGUGUGUGUGUGUGUGUGUGAGACUUUUUGUGGCAG
ensembl:lncRNA